CCUACGGGGGGCAGCAGUGAGGAAUAUUGGUCAAUGGGCGCGAGCCUGAACCAGCCAAGCCGCGUGAGGGAAGACGGUCCUAUGGAUUGUAAACCUCUUUUGUCGGGGAGCAAAAGACGCCACGUGUGGCGUUCCGAGAGUACCCGAAGAAAAAGCAUCGGCUAACUCCGUGCCAGCAGCCGCGGUAAUACGUAGGGGGCAAGCGUUAUCCGGAAUUACUGGGUGUAAAGGGAGCGUAGACGGUUAAGUAAGUCUGGAGUGAAAGGCCGGGGCCCAACCCCGGGACUGCUCUGGAAACUAUUCAA
rnacentral:rRNA from 1 species